ensembl:lncRNA
CAGCUUGAAAACGAAAACAGAAAAGUCAUCAAAGCUCAGUCCGGGGCUGAGGUGUCAGUAAAAUUUGUUGAUGUAUUUACACACAUGUAACUAACUUUUAUGAGAAUUAUAGGACGUCGAAACAUUGUGGUAGACCUCCUAAUCUUUACUGAAUUGAAGUCUUACUUGAUGUGUUUCAGGAUGAGGCCUGCGUCCUUUGAAGACAGCAGCAUGGAAAUGUGCCCAGGUGAAUUGGCAGUCCCACUGAGAAGUGAAAAUAGAUGUCCAUUCACACUGAGACGGCUUUUCGGGUCCCGGCCAAUUCUGCCAGGCUGCCAACAGGGUGGCGUGACUGAGAGGGAAAUGAAUUGUGGGUACAGAGGGUUCCUCUUGACGUUCAAGACAACACCACUGUUAAGGAAGAACCCUUUCCCCCUUUUGGACCCCACUGACUUUCAUUCUACAGUAUGUAUAAAAACACAAAACAUCCCUAGAGAAAAAUAACACACACACACACACACACACACACACACACACAUCGUUUCGAACAAUGUCAGUAAAUGUUAAUAGAUUUUACCUUUAUUUAGUAUGAAAUAAAUGUAUUUUAAAUAUGUGACUUUUUUGAUAC